CAGCCCUAUAGGAGACACCUCCAGAGAAAGUAACAACUCUCAGUUGAUUAGCUGAGGAAGACACCAAAUGAGCUACACUGUUUUGGACUCCCCAACACAACCCAGCCACCGGCUGAAUGCCACCAAAUUACCUUCUAGUUAAAGCUUUAUGGAGCAAACGAAUCACCUAUUCAAUAUCUGCUUGAAUUUCUGACUCAAAAUAUAUCAGGUAUAAAAUGAUGGUUUUUUUAAGCCACUAAGUCUUGGGGGAGUUUAUUAUAAAGCAAUAGAUAAUUUUGAAAAUAAAUAGAACAAGCUGAAGUCUCAAUAAGAACUCAUGGUUUCAUUUAUUUCUUUGAUAGAAUGGUCUUGGAAGUAACAUCUAAUUUUGACUGAGGUAUCGUCUCUAACCAGUGAUCUAUAAAACAGUUUGGGAUCUCUAGCCUGCCCAUGAUCAUAUAUAUAUAUACACACACACACAUACACAUAAACAUAUAUAACAUAUAUAUAAACAUAUAUAUGUGUGUAUAUGCCCCAUAGUUAGGUAAGUCAAUUUACAAUGAUGAAGCAAAUCAAAUUCAUAAUAAUAAUGGUUAGGUUUAGUGAUAAAUUUUGUAAUUACUGCUGUUAUAUUUGUGGAUUUUUUUUCUUUUUUUGAGACGGUUUCUUGCUUUGUCACCCAGGCUGGAGUGCAGUGGUACAAUCAUGACUCAUUGCAGCCUCAACCUCCC
rnacentral:lncRNA from 1 species